CAAUCACAAACCCUGACACUGUCACACACACUGACACUAUCACACACACGGACACAGUCACACACACUGAAACAAUCACACACACUGACACUGUCACAAACACUGACACAAUCACACACACUGACACUGUGACACACACUGACACAAUCACACACUGACAUAGUCACACACUGACACUGUCACACACACGGACACAGUCACACACUGACACAAUCAC